rnacentral:lncRNA from 1 species
GUACAUUUUACUGAACUGCGUCCAGUCAGCAGAUGGACUAGAUGCCUCUUAGGCCGCCCAUUGUGACUCCGUCAAGAAUUCAGCAGAGCAAGUUUGUAUGAAGUUGUCCACAUGGCUGGAAGAACCUAUUCAAGUAGCUAGCUAACAGCCAUGGAGGAGGGUGAAAGGAUAGCAGCCCCAACUGUCAGUGAGAGAGGAGGCUAUUCUGGAUAGGGCAGGUACUUUUGUGUAGUUCCUGUCCCUAGAAGUGAGGACGGAGAUAAUAGUAACAUAAUAUUCAGUGUGGUGUAAUCUGACUAUAAUGAAGUCUGUUUCUUGUGAGGUUUUCUGUCCUCAGAUAAAGAGCUCUAUGAAAGCCAGUCUACAUAUGAAGAGGUCCCAAUGAAGAGCAGUGGUUCUCAGUCCUGGGGACUCAGAGGGGCACAUUUUUGUUUUUGCCUUCAC